UACAGAGGUGGCAAGCGUUGUUCGGAAUUACUGGGCGUAAAGGGCGCGUAGGCGGCCUGCUAAGUCGGAUGUGAAAUCCCUCGGCUCAACCGAGGAACUGCAUCCGAUACUGGCCGGGGCUUGAAUCCGGGAGAGGGAUGUGGAAUUCCAGGUGUAGCGGUGAAAUGCGUAGAUAUCUGGAGGAACACCGGUGGCGAAGGCGGGUCUCUGGGGCAAUAACUGACGCUGAGGAGCGAAAGCGUGGGGGAGCGAACGG
rnacentral:rRNA from 1 species